rnacentral:rRNA from 1 species
UACGAAGGGGGCUAGCGUUGCUCGGAAUCACUGGGCGUAAAGCGCACGUAGGCGGAUUGUUAAGUCAGGGGUGAAAUCCUGGAGCUCAACUCCAGAACUGCCUUGAUACUGGCGAUCUCGAGUCCGGGAGAGGUGAGUGGAACUGCGAGUGUAGAGGUGAAAUUCGUAGAUAUUCGCAAGAACACCAGUGGCGAAGGCGGCUCACUGGCCCGGUACUGACGCUGAGGUGCGAAAGCGUGGGGAGCAAACAGG